rnacentral:rRNA from 1 species
GACGAACGCUGGCGGCGUGCUUAACACAUGCAAGUCGAACGGAAAGGCCCUGCUUUUGUGGGGUGCUCGAGUGGCGAACGGGUGAGUAACACGUGAGUAACCUGCCCUUGACUUUGGGAUAACUUCAGGAAACUGGGGCUAAUACCGGAUAGGAGCUCCUGCUGCAUGGUGGGGGUUGGAAAGUUUCGGCGGUUGGGGAUGGACUCGCGGCUUAUCAGCUUGUUGGUGGGGUAGUGGCUUACCAAGGCUUUGACGGGUAGCCGGCCUGAGAGGGUGACCGGCCACAUUGGGGCUGAGAUACGGCCCAGACUCCUACGGGAGGCAGCAGUGGGGAAUAUUGCACAAUGGGCGGAAGCCUGAUGCAGCAACGCCGCGUGUGGGAUGACGGCCUUCGGGUUGUAAACCGCUUUCGCCUGUGACGAAGCGUGAGUGACGGUAAUGGGUAAAGAAGCACCGGCUAACUACGUG